rnacentral:rRNA from 1 species
UACGGAGGAUCCGAGCGUUAUCCGGAUUUAUUGGGUUUAAAGGGUGCGUAGGCGGCCUUGUAAGUCAGGGGUGAAAGACGGUAGCUUAACUAUCGCAGUGCCUUUGAUACUGCAGGGCUUGAAUGUACUUGAGGUAGGCGGAAUGUGACAAGUAGCGGUGAAAUGCAUAGAUAUGUCACAGAACACCAAUUGCGAAGGCAGCUUACUAAAGUAUGAUUGACGCUGAGGCACGAAAGCGUGGGUCGCGAAUGGG